GUUUCCAUGGAUUGUAACGCCCAGAAAGAAGAAAACAUCCCUUUUCCCAAUUUCCACCCGCCCAACUGACCAAUUUCUCAUAAUCUCCACCGCCUACUCACAGCACAAGCUAUGUCCCUGCAGGCAUUGGUCUCCCCAGUGCACGUGACUCUUCCUGUCUCACGUGCCAAGAUAACUUGGACCCAUCUCCACCGUCCAUCAUUACCAGCAUCCUUUCGAAUUUCCCGGCCGCCUCUGCCGCCACUUGUUCGGUCACUCCCCACCGUGAGGAGCUGCACUGGACUGCCUUUUCUUGAUGUCAAAGGUGGCAAAGGGUC
rnacentral:misc_RNA from 1 species